AAACUUACCGACGCGAGAGGCACCUUAAUCAACUAGGAGGUCCUCUCAGGAUGAGGCCCUUUAAUGGUACUUCGACUGGGUUGACUCGAACUGGGUUGACUGCGAUUACCCCUAAUGUGGGUAACUUGAGCGUAUAAUUUCUGGUAGUGGGGACCUGUGUUCGCGCUCGUCCCUU